rnacentral:rRNA from 1 species
AACGUAGGAGACAAACGUUAUCCGGAGUUAAUGGGCGUAAAGGGCGUGUAGGUGGUUGUGUAAGUCUGGCGUGAAAUUUUUCGGCUUAACCGGGAAAGGUCGUCGGAUACUGCAGAACUAGAGGACGGUAGAGGCGUGUGGAAUUCCGGGUGUAGUGGUGAAAUGCGUAGAGAUCCGGAGGAACACCAGUGGCGAAGGCGACACGCUGGGCCGUACCUGACACUGAUGCGCGACAGCAUGGGGAGCAAACAGG